UGGAGAAUGCCCUACUUCCCAAAAAAGAGACAUUCUCUGAGCUGGCAUUUCAAUGGAAGGAUCACAACACACCUUUCAGUUUAAAAUUUAUUUUGUACAAAUAAUUUUGCAUGCCUGCAGUUAUCCUUUAGUAGUACCAGUUUGCUCCUUGUACACUGUCUUAGCAUGCCUCAGUCUGAACAACAGCGGUAAAGAGUCUUAACAGCACAAGAAGGUAGAGCAAAUGUGGUCUGUGUUUCUGCAGAAGUGAAGGUUAGAAAGAUAAAGGGAAAAUGAUUAAAAUAUUCACAAGUGCCCUAGAUAAGAUUGUUUCGUGUCUGAGGGCAUGGUGAAUCCUGUGGGAAUGAGGAAGCUAAAAGGCUAUUUAAUUCUGAUGUUUCACACUGAAUCAACAUGUUAGAUAUCAAAGUGGUAUUAGUGAAAUUUGUAAGAACACGGGCAUUUUAUGUAAAGAAUACAGAAAUAAAGUAAGUUAGUCCAAACCAAAUCCUUUGCUGUAUCCGAGCUAUGCAGAGAAUGAACAUUGGAGGCUUAACGUGAGUAUAAUAAAUCAAACUGCCAGCUGAGCCUCAGAGGGCUUUAUUCAUGCACUUCAUUGUUCUCUCUACAGAUACAGCAGGGUUCAGCCAAAUGCAGGGCUGCAGAUGUUCAGUGUUUCCCAGUGUUCUGAAGGCUGAGCUGGUGUCUGUGCGUUGUCCAAACUGCUCUGUUCACCGCUCCGAGUGGCCGUGCUCUGCCUUUCAUGGGGACUUUCACAUGCAGAAAUCACAGCGAUUAUUUUGUAGCUAAUAUAGUGGUUGUCCAAGAAAAUUGCAUCAUGAAAUCCAAAAAGUCCUGCAGUGGUAGAGGAAGUAGGAAUCCGUCAGCUGGAAGACAGAGAACAUGACUACCCUUCUGUCACAGUGCUUUUGCCAUGUUCAAUUUAAACCAUCCUGAAAGUGUACCAGUAGUCGGGCUCCGUGGUAUUUGAGGAUAUUCUGAAUGUUAUGCUCUAAAGAUGCCUUUAAAAUGAAAGAGCCCCAUUUUACAGGCAGUUUUAUCAUCUUGGAUCAGUGAGAUUGCUUACCUUGGAAGAAGAAAAGACACAUUAUGGACCCAUAUCAGCAGUUGGAAGACUCUUGAGUAUAACAUGGAGAUAUAUCAGAGGUGACCAGCUGCCCUGCACCAAGGCCUAGCAGUGAUGUAUCGUAGUCUGUUGCUGUAAACAUCCCCGACUGGAAGCUGUACCAGCUCCAGCUUUCAGUCAGAUGUUUGCUGCACCUGGCUAUGCUUGGACAACAGCAGAAGGAGAAGCUGUCAUGAAUGCAUUUGUGCAUUUAUAUUUGUCGAGCAGUGUUUCUACAGACAGAGAUGAAUUGCCUCCCUGUGAAUUACUUGGGCUGGUAGGUGUGAUCUCCUGAAAUCUGAUCUGAAAUGGAGAUCCAAAGCUGGUGCACGCGUUGCUCAAAGCCGAGCUCUUUGCUGCUUUGUGUUAUAACUACAGGAUUAGGCUUCCUUGGAAUGACAAGUGCUGGUGAACUUCUACAGUUACCAUGAACUCUUCAUUGCUUUAUCAGUGGUCUGUUUUAGCAGCUUCUGUUACUCAGGGCUGUGAAGAAAAAUUAUUAUCAAUGCUAUCCAAUAACUAGCAGGCCUCAUAUCUGCUGCGCCUUGCUUUUUGUUGUUUUCUCCGGAAUUCUGUAUUCCGAGUCUCCUUGUGAGAAGGUUGUGUUCCUAAUUGUUAGCUGGGCAUAACCCAAGACCAAAAUAAAGGUUAAAAACAUA